GCUCUAGCAAUCGUUGUUCUUUACUUUUCAUUUACCUUUGCUAUCUUUAGCAUUCUUAUUCUUUACAUUUCUUGUUCUUAUUGCCCCACUUUACUUUACUUUACACAUUGUCAUUUUCACCAUUCUUUACAUUACAUUGGUUCUUUACCUCACACUAUCUCUAGUGUCAUUUCACUUUAACUUUAUCAAAUGCCACUCG
rnacentral:lncRNA from 1 species